rnacentral:rRNA from 1 species
CAGGGUGAUAGUCCCGUAGUUGUAGAUGCAUGUUCAGUGAAAUCGAGUAGGGCGGGACACGUGUUAUCCUGUCUGAAUAUGGGGGGACCAUCCUCCAAGGCUAAAUACUCCUGACUGACCGAUAGUGAACCAGUACCGUGAGGGAAAGGCGAAAAGAACCCCUGUGAGGGGAGUGAAAUAGAACCUGAAACCGUGUACGUACAAGCAGUAGGAGCACCUUCGUGGUGUGACUGCGUACCUUUUGUAUAAUGGGUCAGCGACUUAUAUUCAGUGGCAAGGUUAACCAUCUAGGGGAGCCGUAGGG